GCGGACGUGGCGGAAUGGUAGACGCGCAAGGUUUAGGACCUUGUAGUUGCAAAACUGUGGGGGUUCAAGUCCUCUCGUCCGCA
rnacentral:tRNA from 1 species